rnacentral:rRNA from 1 species
CUCAAUGAAAUUUCAAUAGCCGCAAUUAUCUGUGCUAAGGUAGCAUAAUCAUUUGUCUUUUAAUUAAAGACUAGUAUGAAAGAUUAAAUAUUUUUAUUUCUUUCUUAUACAUAAAACUAUAAUUUAUUCUAAAUAUAAAAAAUUAUUUAUGUAUCAAAAAGACGACAAGACCCUAUUGAACUUAACUAUAGUUAAACUGGGGUAGUUAAUUAAAAACAAUUUUAAUUUUAAAAUAUAAAAACAUCUAAUAAAAUUAAAAAUCAAGUUACCAUAGGGAUAACAGCGUAAUAAUUAUUUCAAGAUCUUAUUAAAAAAAUUGAUUACGACCUCGAUGUUGAAUUAAUAAUCUAUUAAAUGCAAUAAUUUUAUAAGAAAGUCUGUUCGACUU